rnacentral:rRNA from 1 species
AGAUUGAACGCUGGCGGCAGGCCUAACACAUGCAAGUCGAGCGGCAGCACGGGUACUUGUACCUGGUGGCGAGCGGCGGACGGGUGAGUAAUGCCUAGGAAUCUGCCUGGUAGUGGGGGAUAACGCUCGGAAACGGACGCUAAUACCGCAUACGUCCUACGGGAGAAAGCAGGGGACCUUCGGGCCUUGCGCUAUCAGAUGAGCCUAGGUCGGAUUAGCUAGUUGGUGAGGUAAUGGCUCACCAAGGCGACGAUCCGUAACUGGUCUGAGAGGAUGAUCAGUCACACUGGAACUGAGACACGGUCCAGACCUCCGUACGGGAGGCAGCGAAGGUGGGAAUUAGUGAACGAAGUGGGGAC